GACGAACGCUGGCGGCGUGCUUAACACAUGCAAGUCGAACGGAAAGGCCCCUUUGGGUGUACUCGAGUGGCGAACGGUUGAGUAACACGGGAGUAACCUGCCCUUGACUUCGUUAUAACUUCAGUAAACUGGGGCUAAUACCGGAUAUGAAUCCUUGCUGCAUGGUGGGGGUUGGAAAGCUUCGGCGGUUUUGGAUGGACUCGCGGCUUAUCAGCUUGUUGGUGGGGUAGUGGCUUACCAAGGCUUUGACGGGUAGCCGGACUGAGAGGGCGAGCGGCGACCUUGGGACUGAGAUAAGGCCCAGACUCGUACGGGAGGCAGCAGUGGGGAAUAUUGCACAAUGGGCGGAAGCCUGAUGAAGCAACGCUGCGUGCGGGAUGACGGCCUUCGGGUUGUAAACCGCUUUCAGCAGGGGAGAAGCUUGUGGUGACGGUACCUGAAGAAGAAGCACCGGCUAACUACGUG
rnacentral:rRNA from 1 species